UACAGAGGUCUCAAGCGUUGUUCGGAUUCAUUGGGCGUAAAGGGUGCGUAGGCGGCGGUGCAAGUCAGGUGUGAAAUCCCGGGGCUCAACCCCGGAACUGCACUUGAUACUGCUCCGCUUGAGUACUGGAGAGGAGACUGGAAUUUACGGUGUAGCAGUGAAAUGCGUAGAUAUCGUAAGGAAGACCAGUGGCGAAGGCGAGUCUCUGGACAGUUACUGACGCUGAGGCACGAAGGCCAGGGGAGCAAACAGG
rnacentral:rRNA from 1 species